AGCAGUAGCCGCGGGAAUACGUAGGUGGCAAGCGUUGUCCGGAAUUAUUGGGCGUAAAGGGCGCGCAGGCGGCUUCUUAAGUCUGUCUUAAAAGUGCGGGGCUUAACCCCGUGAUGGGAUGGAAACUGGAACGCUCAGAGUAUCGGAGAGGAAAGCGGAAUUCCUAGUGUAGCGGUGAAAUGCGUAGAUAUUAGGAGGAACACCAGUGGCGAAAGCGGCUUUCUGGACGAAAACUGACGCUGAGGCGCGAAAGCCAGGGGAGCGAACGGGAUUAGAUACCCCCGUAGUCCCUGUCUCUUAUAC
rnacentral:rRNA from 1 species